rnacentral:lncRNA from 1 species
UCACCAUCUAAACGAGGCAUUUUCAGGGAAGUCAGUCGUUGCUGUAGCUCUUAGUGUCUGACUCGGAGUCUACACUGGGGAUGUGUAGCACACUACAGUUCCAGGUCUGCUGAGUUUUCUAUCCCCGCCCUCCCUCUGCUGCUGCCGAGGAGUGAGCAUUGACUGGUUGACUUGAGACAGGUCGCUGAGAGUGGAGAAACCCCCUUGUCCUUAGCGUAAGGCAUCUCCGAUGCUGGGUAGUCUGUGUACUUAACCUGAAACUGUGAAGUUUUCCCUUUUUGCCAUAAACCAAAAGGCAGAUCUUUGAGGUUUUGCCCUUGAAACAUUAAAACACAAACUGUAUUUUCUGAUCCCUUCAGGUUAAUUGAUCAGGGAGGUCCAGUUGGUCCCAGUCAGACAUGUAGCAAUUGGGACCAGUAGCUCACAAGGCUUGUUGCCCAAACCAUAUCUCUUCGGGUAGCCCCAUGUUUCCUCUCUGUGAAGUUGUAUUUGCUUCCCUGCAGUUAGUUCCUCCUGAGGGCACUCCGGGACACCUGGUGGGAGGAGUUAACUUUAUUUUGCAUUUUUAACUUUACACCCAUUUGAGUUCAUCCCCACCCCCACCCUUGGAUUCCCGUUUGGCACUAUCCCCUGUUGUAUUGCUGUAGAGCUCUCCUUGACCUUCAUCUUUGCCUGCCCCCCCCCCACUCCCACCCCCACCCCCGCCACUACCGCUCCCUAUUUUUGUUUUUGUUUUUGUUUUUUUUUGGUCUACACUUAGAGCCAGCUGUACAGUGUUCAGAACUUUUGUUCAGCAAUUCUUAGGAUUGUCCAGUUGGCUAUUUGCAGAACAUUAAGCCAGACUCGGGGACAUCCCUAGCUUGUUUCCUAAGGGGAAACUGUAAUGUUGAUGUGGCACACUGGCAUUAACAGCCUGUGCUGCUUGUGGCCAGAGGAUAAGAUGUGUCCACAUGUGCUGGUGUCCCUGACAGCUCCGUGACGCCACGGACGUCAGAUAGCCCUACUCAAUGAACCCCAGGAUUUGGUUCUAAAUUUUAAGGUUCUGUGGAGCUCCCACAGUUUAUGCUAGUCGGGGAAUAAAGAGGUAUUGGUGGGGUCAGGUGACCCUAAGAACAAGGCAUGGGUGAGAAUUUCUCUUACUUUAUUGUGACCUAUCCCCAGCCCCGUGUGUACCGGGCAAACCUGUAAACCCCAGAGCUUUUCGCCCAGGCAGGGCUUUGCUACUGAUUAUCUUCCUUUUCUGGCUUCCUGCUGUGCUCUCUCCACCAGACCCGAGACUACUCAACUCUGAAAGUGAACUUAAAUCCCUUUACAGAUGGACAGUGAAUUUGUUGGCAUGGGAACGAGCCCUAUGGAGUGGUCUCUGUCUGUCUGUCUGGGAGUGCGUUCACGUCCCAGUCCCAUUGGGUGAGUCAGAAAUCGGGUGCACAGCAUCCAUCUCGGUGUGAUGACGCGUCACAGUCAAUGUCAAGAGGAAGAUGGCACCUGUGGCAGCGAUCCUGAUAUUUUCCUUCUGCCGGUCCCCACCCACCCUGCCCGGAGUAGCUCAAGUCUCUUCUGAAGCAGAGAAACGUUGCUGUCUAACUCCUUCCAUUAAAUUAAGAAGUACUGACCUCCUAAUAUUUAAGUGUUUACUAUCUGCUGUAAAGUUUUGUAUAUUUUGUAAACCUUUUUCCCCAAAACAGUAGACAUCUAAAAUCGUACAUCUGAUUCUUUUAUAUUUCAUUGUUCAGCACAAAGUGUGGUUUUUAUUUAGAAUAAAAAAAGAAACAGACAG